UUCAUGGAACCGAGCAAUGAUUGUCAAUGCCCCUCGUGGUGCUGUGGAAUCUUCCAAGGACAAGUUUGAAGUUUUCUAUGUUGAUUAUGGAAACCAAGAAGUUGUUUCAUAUAGUCAGUUGCGGCCUCUUGAAGCAUCUGUGUCCGCCAGUCCUGGUCUUGCUCAACUCUGCAGUCUUGCUCAUGUUAAAGUUCCUGGGCUAGAAGAUGAUUAUGGUCAGGAGGCAGCAUACCGGCUAAGUGAGCUUCUUCUAAGUGGGCCAAAGGAAUUUAGAGCUGUUAUUGAGGAGAAAGACGCUUCAGGUGGAAAAGUUAAAGGUCAAGGAACAGGGACAGUCUUUCUGGUGACUUUGGUUGAUCCUGAAAGUGAUAUCAGCAUAAAUGCUACCUUGCUUAAGGAAGGACUUGCUAGGAUGGAGAAAAGGAAGAGGUGGGAGCCCAAGGACAAACAACAGGCUCUGGAUGAAUUGGAGAAGUAUCAAACAGAAGCACGAGAAAAGAGGUUCGCAAUGUGGGAGUAUGGAGAUGUCGAGUCAGAUGAGGAGGAUAUCCCUGCUAGGAAACCUGCUGGGAGACGGUAAAGGCUGCAACAGAGUUGAACUGGUGGCAAUUGACAAAAUUUGGAUGGGGCUUUGUCAGCCUAAAAAUCAGACAAUUGCUGUCUAGAGAAAUAGAGAGGUGAAAGUUUGAGUUAGCUUUAUGCGUUGUUCACAUGUAACUUUAGGAGAGAGAGAGAGAUAGACUUCAGGAGGUGAGUGAAAUUUUGUUCUCUUUCUUUUUCCCCCGAAUCAGACAAUUGCUGUCUAGAGAAAUAGAGAGGUGAAAGUUUGAGUUAGCUUUAUGCGUUGUUCACAUGUAACUUUAGGAGAGAGAGAGAGAUAGACUUCAGGAGGUGAGUGAAAUUUUGUUCUCUUUCUUUUUCCCCC
rnacentral:misc_RNA from 1 species